UCAACCUAAAAUAAACAAACAGUGUAGUG
rnacentral:sRNA from 1 species